UACGUAGGGUCCGAGCGUUAAUCGGAAUUACUGGGCGUAAAGCGUGCGCAGGCGGUUAUGGAAGGCAGGUGUGAAAUCCCCGGGCUCAACCUGGGAACUGCAUUUGUGACUGCAUAGCUAGAGUACGGUAGAGGGGGAUGGAAUUCCGCGUGUAGCAGUGAAAUGCGUAGAUAUGCGGAGGAACACCGAUGGCGAAGGCAAUCCCCUGGACCUGUACUGACGCUCAUGCACGAAAGCGUGGGGAGCAAACAGG
rnacentral:rRNA from 1 species